GACGAACGCUGGCGGCGUGCCUAAUACAUGCAAGUCGAACGCUUCUUUCCUCCCGAGUGCUUGCACUCAAUUGGAAAGAGGAGUGGCGGACGGGUGAGUAACACGUGGGUAACCUACCCAUCAGAGGGGGAUAACACUUGGAAACAGGUGCUAAUACCGCAUAACAGUUUAUGCCGCAUGGCAUAAGAGUGAAAGGCGCUUUCGGGUGUCGCUGAUGGAUGGACCCGCGGUGCAUUAGCUAGUUGGUGAGGUAACGGCUCACCAAGGCCACGAUGCAUAGCCGACCUGAGAGGGUGAUCGGCCACACUGGGACUGAGGCACGGCCCAGACUCCUACGGGAGGCAGCAGUAGGGAAUCUUCGGCAAUGGACGAAAGUCUGACCGAGCAACGCCGCGUGAGUGAAGAAGGUUUUCGGAUCGUAAAACCCUGUUGUUAGAGAAGAACAAGGACGUUAGUAACUGAACGUCCCCUGACAGUAUCUAACCAGAAAGCCACGGCUAACUACGUG
rnacentral:rRNA from 1 species